AUGCAAGUGUUUAACAGAUGCUUCACUAUUAAAAUAUUUUCCCCCCAAGUCUCAAAUAUUGAAGAAUCUCUAACCAGGGACACCAGUCCCUACGAAGACCUUGGGCGAUUUUGAAGUGCGGGCACCUCGAUUCCCCGAAUCUGUAGUGUGGCUGGUAUCGGUGUUCCCCUGGUUUAACUAGCCUGUUUGAAGGCACAGAUCAUUCAUGGGGAUGUAUAACCGAAACCAGUCCUCUCCACCGCCUGGGGAUCUUCACUUUCGCAGUCUACGACUGCCUGUGACUCCAGAAAGACAAACUGCAGAUUGGCCAAGAUGGGGAAAUUGAGGCAGAGAAGCCAAGACAUGUGCUAAAGGUCAUGCAGGCUAUGAAUGGAGCUGGAAUGUGAACGCAGGCCAUAUGACCCCAGAGCCCAUGUUCUUGAACCCUUAGAAAGACAGCAGCAACACACCUGGUGCAGCAGCUGCUUAGUUGGAGUGGCUGACAAGGAGAGAAUGAUUUCCAGGAAGAGCGGAACACAUA
rnacentral:lncRNA from 10 species